rnacentral:rRNA from 1 species
GGGCACUCUAGCGAGACUGCCGGUAAUAACCGGAGGAAGUGGGGAUGACGUCAAAUCAUCAUGCCCCUUAUGACCUGGGCUACACACGUGCUACAAUGGUUGGUACAACGAGUUGCGAGUCGGUGACGGCGAGCUAAUCUCUUAAAGCCAAUCUCAGUUCGGAUUGUAGGCUGCAACUCGCCUACAUGAAGUCGGAAUCGCUAGUAAUCGCGUAUCAGCGUGACGCGGUGAAUACGUUCCCGGGCCUU